GCCCAAGGCUAUAUAGGCAGCCCAGUGAUAUUUGGGAUGUCAUAAAUUGUCCAACAUCACAUCUCUCCAAGCCCCAUAAAUCUUUGGGUGGAUUUUCCAGGGUGCUGUAGAUUGUAAGGUUGGCCCUGGCCCCAUCUACACUAGCUGGCAGUGGGUCUCAGAGGACUUAUUCAUUCCACACUUUGGACAUAGAAGCAGCCUCUCUAAGUUGUGGAGAAGCAUUGUGAAUACACUCGGGCAUCUGCUGGGCAAUGGCGUGCAGCCGGCAAAUCUUUCACUUCCAGAAGCAUUGUACUAGAACAACACUGAACCACUUCAUGGACGCCGAUCCCCUGGACAAUGACUGAAGUUGAGGAAAGGUUUUAAGUGGUUUUUUUUUUAAUUUUGCCUGCAUUUCAUGUGUGUCAAUAAUUUUGAAUUAUGGAAUGCUCUAAUAUGAAUAAAGACACUGUCAAUCCAUUGUGUAUUGU
rnacentral:lncRNA from 1 species